UCCACGCCGUAAACGAUGAUCACUCGAUAUUGGCGAUACACAGUCAGUGUCCAAGCGAAAGUGAUAAGUGAUCCACCUGGGGAGUACGAUCGCAAGGUUGAAACUCAAAGGAAUUGACGGGGGCCCGCACAAGCGGUGGAGCAUGUGGUUUAAUUCGAUGAUACGCGAGGAACCUUACCAGGGCUUAAAUGCAGAACGAUCGUCCCGGAAACGGGAUUUUCUUCGGACGGUUU
rnacentral:rRNA from 1 species